rnacentral:misc_RNA from 1 species
AAGUCGUAACAAGGUUUCCGUAGGUGAACCUGCGGAAGGAUCAUUAGUGAAGUUCGGAAUGCAUGUUCGAUGUUGAUGCUGCCCAGCAAUGGGAUGUGCUCGCUCGGAUGUGUGUCCCUUCUCUAUCCACCCCAUUGUGAACCAAGUGUGUGAGCCGAAGAGAAAUCGGACGCUCGCAUGCAAACCUUUAACAUACCCCAAUGAAGUAUCAGAAUGUACCUUGCGUUAACUCGCACAAAUAUAACUUUCAACAACGGAUCUCUUGGCUCUC